AAUUCUCAAACUCUGAUUGAUUUUGUUUUUGAUCAGAGCUUUGGAUUUGGAGCGUGCUGGCGUCAGUCGGCUCCUCUUGAAUGCAUCAGCGGAAUCCCCAUUCAUUUCGGACGUCAGUGUGAUAAUCAUGUUGCGCUGUCUCUUGCCGAUCUUGAAAGCCCGCUCACAAUGGUCUUCGGACAAACCUCACAUAUCAA
rnacentral:misc_RNA from 1 species